rnacentral:lncRNA from 10 species
UCUGUUCCUGCAGUCAAGACCAGUAAACUCAGGUAUGAGCCUUGCAAGAAGACAUACAUAUUUUGCUGAUUGCCAAGGGGAUAAUGCAUUGGGUAUAAGAAGAAGGAAAGUAGAGGAACCAAUUAAGAAAUAUUUACUACAAUUAAGAAGAGAUGAUAAUAACUUCGACCAAGGUGGAGGCUAUGAAGAUGGAGCAAUGCGAAUACAUGGAGACAUGUUUUUGAUGUAGACUCAGCAAGAAAUUCUAAUAUAUUAGAUUUUAUGUUUUGGGAGAAAAAGAGACAUCUCCAAGAUUAUGGCUUGAAUAGAUUGGGACUAAUAGUGAAACUUGAGAGUGAUCACAUAUGGAGAUGAAAGAUUGAAAGACCUCUCGCUGAACAUAAUAUAGAAGGUCUAAAAUACUCUCAAGUCCCCUCCAUCUCAAAAUGACAGCAGUAACAGUGAAAACUAAACAUAGCUGUACCAAGGUAACAAAUAAUCUCUUUGUUUUAUUCUUUCCUUAAUUCAUUUAUUUAAUUAAUAUUUCUUAAUUUCUUUAUAUGUUCAUUAUAUGUUCAAAAUCCUGUGAUCUGCUUUUGUGAAUGAUGAGAAAAAGGGCGGGGGAUAGUGAAGCAGGUAUGACCCCUGCUCACUCUCACAUAGCAUAUAGCUUUCAGUGUGGAGAUAGAUUAAACAAAUGGUUACAUAAUUAGAUAAUUACAUUUAUAAUAAGAGGUAAUGAAGAGAAGUUUAUAAUUAUAUGAGAGCACAUAAUGGGGUUGCCUUUGUACUGUGAGUAGUUGGAAGAAACAAGAAAGUUGGAACUAAAAAGGUGAGAAGGAAUUGGCUAGGUUAAGAGACAGCAGAGUUCUGUGCAGAGACAACAGUAUGACACAGUCAAAUAAGAAAGAGGGUUGGUGUGCCUUAGACGGAGAAAACAAGAAGAAAGGUCAUGAGCUCUGUGGCAGAAGUAAGGGGCUCAAAUCUAUAAUUUUUUAAAUUCAUAUUUGCAUUUACAAUGGCAUAAUGCAUAUCUCCAUUUAGAUUUUUUAUUGGCUUCUGAACUACUGAGUGCAUCAGGCUGAAUUAAUUAAUUUCCCUCUCCUAUGAUAUAUUGAUUAAAGGCAUUAAAAUCUAUUAGUCAUUCACACACACUCUAAAAUCUGUUUAUCUUUAAUUUUUCUCCUUUAUCCUUCACACUCAAUGACUCACAGAGGAUGAUUCUACCUAUGAAAUUGUUUUUCCUGUGAAAUUUGUCUUUUGUCAGAGAAAAGUGAAUGUAUCAUUUAGUUAAGUUUUUGUAACUUUGCAUUUUCUAUCUCCUAAGC